AACGAGACCUUAACCUGCUAAAUAGCCAGGCUAGCUUUAGCUAGUCGCCGGCUUCUUAGAGGGACUAUUAGCUUAAGCUAAUAGAAGUUUAAGGCAAUAACAGGUUAACCUACACAGGCCUGUAACAGUGGGCCUUAUUAAAGAUAACUGCUAGUCUAGCGUCUUAACCUUCUUUAGGGAAGUCUCUUACUGUCAGGAGAAGGCAAGUUUACUUGUAACGCAGGCAACACUACCUAGUACAGAGAACGCCG
rnacentral:rRNA from 1 species